rnacentral:rRNA from 1 species
GAUGAACGCUGGCGGCGUGCCUAAUACAUGCAAGUCGAGCGAACGGACGAGAAGCUUGCUCCUCUGAUGUUAGCGGCGGACGGGUGAGUAACACGUGGAUAACCUACCUAUAAGACUGGGAUAACUUCGGGAAACCGGAGCUAAUACCGGAUAAUAUUUUGAACCGCAUGGUUCAAUAGUGAAAGACGGUUUUGCUGUCACUUAUAGAUGGAUCCGCGCUGCAUUAGCUAGUUGGUAAGGUAACGGCUUACCAAGGCAACGAUGCGUAGCCGACCUGAGAGGGUGAUCGGCCACACUGGAACUGAGACACGGUCCAGACUCCUACGGGAGGCAGCAGUAGGGAAUAUUCCGCAAUGGGCGAAAGCCUGACGGAGCAACGCCGCGUGAGUGAUGAAGGUCUUCGGAUCGUAAAACUCUGUUAUUAGGGAAGAACAUAUGUGUAAGAAACUAUGCACGUCUUGACGGUACCUAAUCAGAAAGCAACGGCUAACUACGUG